GGGUUGUGAGGUUAAGCGACUAAGCGUACACGGUGGAUGCCCUGGCAGUCAGAGGCGAUGAAGGACGUGCUAAUCUGCGAUAAGCGUCGGUAAGGUGAUAUGAACCGUUAUAACCGGCGAUUUCCGAAUGGGGAAACCCAGUGUGUUUCGACACACUAUCAUUAACUGAAUCCAUAGGUUAAUGAGGCGAACCGGGGGAACUGAAACAUCUAAGUACCCCGAGGAAAAGAAAUCAACCGAGAUUCCCCCAGUAGCGGCGAGCGAACGGGGAGCAGCCCAGAGCCUGAAUCAGUAUGUGUGUUAGUGGAAGCGUCUGGAAAGGCGCGCGAUACAGGGUGACAGCCCCGUACACAAAAAUGCACAUAUUGUGAGCUCGAUGAGUAGGGCGGGACACGUGGUAUCCUGUCUGAAUAUGGGGGGACCAUCCUCCAAGGCUAAAUACUCCUGACUGACCGAUAGUGAACCAGUACCGUGAGGGAAAGGCGAAAAGAACCCCGGCGAGGGGAGUGAAAAAGAACCUGAAACCGUGUACGUACAAGCAGUGGGAGCACGCUUAGGCGUGUGACUGCGUACCUUUUGUAUAAUGGGUCAGCGACUUAUAUUCUGUAGCAAGGUUAACCGAAUAGGGGAGCCGAAGGGAAACCGAGUCUUAACUGGGCGUUAAGUUGCAGGGUAUAGACCCGAAACCCGGUGAUCUAGCCAUGGGCAGGUUGAAGGUUGGGUAACACUAACUGGAGGACCGAACCGACUAAUGUUGAAAAAUUAGCGGAUGACUUGUGGCUGGGGGUGAAAGGCCAAUCAAACCGGGAGAUAGCUGGUUCUCCCCGAAAGCUAUUUAGGUAGCGCCUCGUGAAUUCAUCUCCGGGGGUAGAGCACUGUUUCGGCAAGGGGGUCAUCCCGACUUACCAACCCGAUGCAAACUGCGAAUACCGGAGAAUGUUAUCACGGGAGACACACGGCGGGUGCUAACGUCCGUCGUGAAGAGGGAAACAACCCAGACCGCCAGCUAAGGUCCCAAAGUCAUGGUUAAGUGGGAAACGAUGUGGGAAGGCCCAGACAGCCAGGAUGUUGGCUUAGAAGCAGCCAUCAUUUAAAGAAAGCGUAAUAGCUCACUGGUCGAGUCGGCCUGCGCGGAAGAUGUAACGGGGCUAAACCAUGCACCGAAGCUGCGGCAGCGACGCUUAUGCGUUGUUGGGUAGGGGAGCGUUCUGUAAGCCUGCGAAGGUGUGCUGUGAGGCAUGCUGGAGGUAUCAGAAGUGCGAAUGCUGACAUAAGUAACGAUAAAGCGGGUGAAAAGCCCGCUCGCCGGAAGACCAAGGGUUCCUGUCCAACGUUAAUCGGGGCAGGGUGAGUCGACCCCUAAGGCGAGGCCGAAAGGCGUAGUCGAUGGGAAACAGGUUAAUAUUCCUGUACUUGGUGUUACUGCGAAGGGGGGACGGAGAAGGCUAUGUUGGCCGGGCGACGGUUGUCCCGGUUUAAGCGUGUAGGCUGGUUUUCCAGGCAAAUCCGGAAAAUCAAGGCUGAGGCGUGAUGACGAGGCACUACGGUGCUGAAGCAACAAAUGCCCUGCUUCCAGGAAAAGCCUCUAAGCAUCAGGUAACAUCAAAUCGUACCCCAAACCGACACAGGUGGUCAGGUAGAGAAUACCAAGGCGCUUGAGAGAACUCGGGUGAAGGAACUAGGCAAAAUGGUGCCGUAACUUCGGGAGAAGGCACGCUGAUAUGUAGGUGAAGUCCCUUGCGGAUGGAGCUGAAAUCAGUCGAAGAUACCAGCUGGCUGCAACUGUUUAUUAAAAACACAGCACUGUGCAAACACGAAAGUGGACGUAUACGGUGUGACGCCUGCCCGGUGCCGGAAGGUUAAUUGAUGGGGUUAGCCGCAAGGCGAAGCUCUUGAUCGAAGCCCCGGUAAACGGCGGCCGUAACUAUAACGGUCCUAAGGUAGCGAAAUUCCUUGUCGGGUAAGUUCCGACCUGCACGAAUGGCGUAAUGAUGGCCAGGCUGUCUCCACCCGAGACUCAGUGAAAUUGAACUCGCUGUGAAGAUGCAGUGUACCCGCGGCAAGACGGAAAGACCCCGUGAACCUUUACUAUAGCUUGACACUGAACAUUGAGCCUUGAUGUGUAGGAUAGGUGGGAGGCUUUGAAGUGUGGACGCCAGUCUGCAUGGAGCCGACCUUGAAAUACCACCCUUUAAUGUUUGAUGUUCUAACGUUGACCCGUAAUCCGGGUUGCGGACAGUGUCUGGUGGGUAGUUUGACUGGGGCGGUCUCCUCCUAAAGAGUAACGGAGGAGCACGAAGGUUGGCUAAUCCUGGUCGGACAUCAGGAGGUUAGUGCAAUGGCAUAAGCCAGCUUGACUGCGAGCGUGACGGCGCGAGCAGGUGCGAAAGCAGGUCAUAGUGAUCCGGUGGUUCUGAAUGGAAGGGCCAUCGCUCAACGGAUAAAAGGUACUCCGGGGAUAACAGGCUGAUACCGCCCAAGAGUUCAUAUCGACGGCGGUGUUUGGCACCUCGAUGUCGGCUCAUCACAUCCUGGGGCUGAAGUAGGUCCCAAGGGUAUGGCUGUUCGCCAUUUAAAGUGGUACGCGAGCUGGGUUUAGAACGUCGUGAGACAGUUCGGUCCCUAUCUGCCGUGGGCGCUGGAGAACUGAGGGGGGCUGCUCCUAGUACGAGAGGACCGGAGUGGACGCAUCACUGGUGUUCGGGUUGUCAUGCCAAUGGCACUGCCCGGUAGCUAAAUGCGGAAGAGAUAAGUGCUGAAAGCAUCUAAGCACGAAACUUGCCCCGAGAUGAGUUCUCCCUGACUCCUUGAGAGUCCUGAAGGAACGUUGAAGACGACGACGUUGAUAGGCCGGGUGUGUAAGCGCAGCGAUGCGUUGAGCUAACCGGUACUAAUGAACCGUGAGGCUUAACCUUACAACGCCGAAGGUGUUU
rnacentral:rRNA from 1 species